rnacentral:rRNA from 1 species
AACGAACGCUGGCGGCAGGCUUAACACAUGCAAGUCGAACGCCUGUAGCAAUACAGGAGUGGCAGACGGGUGAGUAACACGUGGGAACGUGCCCAGAGGUACGGAACAACUCCGGGAAACUGGAGCUAAUACCGUAUGUGCCCGAGAGGGGAAAGAUUUAUCGCCUUUGGAUCGGCCCGAGUCUGAUUAGCUAGUUGGUGGGGUAAUGGCCUACCAAGGCGACGAUCAGGAGCUGGUCUGAGAGGAUGGCCAGCCACACUGGGACUGAGACACGGCCCAGACUCCUACGGGAGGCAGCAGUGGGGAAUAUUGGACAAUGGGCGCAAGCCUGAUCCAGCCAUGCCGCGUGAGUGAUGAAGGCCUUAGGGUUGUAAAGCUCUUUCGCCAGGGACGAUAAUGACGGUACCUGGAUAAGAAGCCCCGGCUAACUUCGUGCCAGCCGCCGCCGUAA